ensembl:misc_RNA 7SK 7SK RNA
GGAUGUCAGGGUGAUCUGGCUGCGACAUCUGUCACCCACUGAUCACCAGGGUUGAUUCAGCUGAUCUGGCUGGCUAGGCGCGUGUCUCCUUUCUCCCUCACGGUUCCACGUGCGCCCCUCCCAAAGCUGUGUGCUAGAUCGAAGAGAACGACCUUCUCCAACAGAGAGGACCGUUCUUCCAUCAAGGGUAUACAAGUAGCCACGCUCCCCUGCUAGAACCUCUAAACAAGCUCUCAUACAAUAAAAUUUACCUAUUUAUCUUAUUUAUUAUCUAUCCUAUUAGAACCUAAGGUCCUCUUUGACAGGGCUUUA